rnacentral:rRNA from 1 species
CACAAGCGGUGGAUGAUGUGGUUUAAUUCGAUGCAACGCGAAAACCUUACCCACCUUUGACAUGGCAGGAAUCCCGAAGAGAUUUGGGAGUGCUCGAAAGAGAACCUGCACACAGGUGCUGCAUGGCUGUCGUCAGCUCGUGUCGUGAGAUGUUGGGUUAAGUCCCGCAACGAGCGCAACCCUUGCCAUUAGUUGCUACGAAAGGGCACUCUAAUGGGACUGCCGGCGACAAACCGGAGGAAGGUGGGGAUGACGUCAAGUCCUCAUGGCCCUUAUGGGUAGGGCUUCACACGUCAUACAAUGGUCGGUACAGAGGGUUGCCAAGCCGCGAGGCGGAGCCAAUCCCACAAAGCCGAUCGUAGUCCGGAUUGUUCUCUGCAACUCGAGAGCAUGAAGUCGGAAUCGCUAGUAAUCGCAGGUCAGCAUACUGCGGUGAAUACGUUCCCGGGUCUU